GACGAACGCUGGCGGCGUGCUUAACACAUGCAAGUCGAACGGUGAACCAGAGCUUGCUCUGGGGAUCAGUGGCGAACGGGUGAGUAACACGUGGGCAACCUGCCCCAGACUCUGGGAUAACCCCGGGAAACCGGAGCUAAUACCGGAUAUGACCACUUCGGACAUCCGAUGGUGGUGGAAAGUUUUUCGGUCUGGGAUGGGCCCGCGGCCUAUCAGCUAGUUGGUGGGGUAAUGGCCUACCAAGGCGACGACGGGUAGCCGGCCUGAGAGGGCGACCGGCCACACUGGAACUGAGACACGGUCCAGACUCCUACGGGAGGCAGCAGUGGGGAAUAUUGCACAAUGGGCGAAAGCCUGAUGCAGCGACGCCGCGUGAGGGACGACAGCCUUCGGGUUGUAAACCUCUUUCAGCAGGGACGAAGCGAAAGUGACUGUACCUGCAAAAGAAGCACCGGCUAACUACGUGCCAGCAGCCGCGGU
rnacentral:rRNA from 1 species